UUAUUGGAGAGUUUGAUCCUGGCUCAGGACGAACGCUGGCGGCGUGCCUAAUACAUGCAAGUCGAGCGAGGGUUUUCGGACCCUAGCGGCGGACGGGUGAGUAACACGUAGGCAACCUGCCCAUAAGACCGGGAUAACAUAGGGAAACUUAUGCUAAUACCGGAU
rnacentral:rRNA from 1 species